UACGAAGGUGGCAAGCGUUGUUCGGAUUUACUGGGCGUACAGGGAGCGUAGGCGGUUGGAUAAGCCCUCCGUGAAAUCUCCAGGCUUAACCUGGAAAGUGCAGAGGGGACUGUUCAGCUAGAGGAUGGGAGAGGAGCGCGGAAUUCCCGGUGUAGCGGUGAAAUGCGUAGAGAUCGGGAGGAAGGCCGGUGGCGAAAGCGGUCUCCUGGGCCGAGGGCCGACGCUGAGGCGCGAGAGCGUGGGGAGCGAACCGG
rnacentral:rRNA from 1 species